UACGAAGGGGGCUAGCGUUGUUCGGAUUUACUGGGCGUAAAGCGCACGUAGGCGGACUUUUAAGUCAGGGGUGAAAUCCCAGAGCUCAACUCUGGAACUGCCUUUGAUACUGGAAGUCUUUGAGUAUGGAAGAGGUUGGUGGAACUGCGAGUGUAGAGGUGAAAUUCGUAGAUAUUCGCAAGAACACCAGUGGCGAAGGCGGCUCACUGGCCCGGUACUGACGCUGAGGUGCGAAAGCGUGGGGAGCAAACAGG
rnacentral:rRNA from 1 species